CGGUACCAGCAGAAAAAGCACCGGCUAACUACGUGCCAGCAGCCGCGGUAAUACGUAGGGUGCAAGCGUUGUCCGAAAUUAUUGGGCGUAAAGAGCUCGUAGGCGGUUUGUCGCGUCUGCUGUGAAAUCUGGGGGCUCAACCCCCAGCCUGCAGUGGGUACGGGCAGACUAGAGUGCGGUAGGGGAGAUUGGAAUUCCUGGUGUAGCGGUGGAAUGCGCAGAUAUCAGGAGGAACACCGAUGGCGAAGGCAGAUCUCUGGGCCGUAACUGACGCUGAGGAGCGAAAGCAUGGGGAGCGAACAGGAUUAGAUACCCUGGUAGUCCAUGCCGUAAACGUUGGGAACUAGAUGUAGGGGCCAUUCCACGGUUUCUGUGUCGCAGCUAACGCAUUAAGUUCCCCGCCUGGGGAGUACGGCCGCAAGGCUAAAACUCAAAGGAAUUGACGGGGGCCCGCACAAGCGGCGGAGCAUGCGGAUUAAUUCGAUGCAACGCGAAGAACCUUACCAAGGCUUGACAUAUACCGGAAACGUCCAGAGAUGGUCGCCCCGCAAGGUCGGUAUACAGGUGGUGCAUGGUUGUCGUCAGCUCGUGUCGUGAGAUGUUGGGUUAAGUCCCGCAACGAGCGCAACCCUCGUUCUAUGUUGCCAGCACGUUAUGGUGGGAACUCAUAGGAGACUGCCGGGGUCAACUCGGAGGAAGGUGGGGAUGACGUCAAAUCAUCAUGCCCCUUAUGUCUUGGGCUUCACGCAUGCUACAAUGGCCGAUACAAAGGGCUGCAAUACCGUAAGGUGGAGCGAAUCCCAAAAAGUCGGUCUCAGUUCGGAUUGAGGUCUGCAACUCGACCUCAUGAAGUCGGAGUCGCUAGUAAUCGCAGAUCAGCAACGCUGCGGUGAAUACGUUCCCGGGCCUUGUACACACCGCCCGUCAAGUCAUGAAAGUCGGUAACAC
rnacentral:rRNA from 1 species